AAACAGUGAUGAACUCCUUUAUCCCGAAUCUGAGUCCAGUUUGCUGAUACCCAUCUACGGAUCUGACUACUGAGUU
rfam:Danio rerio chromosome 17, GRCz11 reference primary assembly.